CUUAUGGACAGUUUACCAGGUGAUGUCCAUUAGCUUGGCUCCAAAACACUGGUUGAUAACUUUUUGUUGCAAGAAUUCAACCGCAACAAGUUGACAGAUUGGGAAUUAAUUCAUUCCAAAACUUCUAUAGAAUUGAAAUCUUGCUUCAGUAAAUCCUCUUGAAUACGGUAAGGUCUAUUCCAGUUCCGAUCAUAAAAAACUUUUUUUUGGUGCUUGUCUUCAGGGAAAGAAAACGUAAAAUAUUCGCAUUGUGUGGUCUCAAAAAGUUUAAUUAUUAAUUUGGUAAUUGUUGGAAAACCCCUUAAAGAAAAAAACAAAUCUGCUUUAUGCCCUAGAGUUUUGCCCUUUAAAGGGUUAAAUGGAAUAUAUAGAAUCAAAUUUUGAAACCACAUAUUGAACUUCUGAGUAUAGUUUCAUCAUAGAAAGUGAUAUCGCAGAAAAAAACAUAUCGUUUCAAGCCCGAGUUCUGACCGUUGCCAAUCCGGACUAUUAGGUUUUGUUUCGGUAAAGGCUUUGUUUCUUGUUCCGAAGAUAUAUCGUCUUCAAGAGGGAACUCACAAAAUAGGAAGUGCCAGUUAGAAGAGGACUUACAUCUGCUGAGCUGCGCCUUGGGAUAAUCUUAGCAACUAGUUGCUGAAUAAAGAAUGGUUC